UGGGGAAUUUUGGACAAUGGGCGAAAGCCUGAUCCAGCAAUGCCGCGUGUGUGAAGAAGGCCUUCGGGUUGUAAAGCACUUUUGUCCGGAAAGAAAUCCUUGGCUCUAAUACAGUCGGGGGAUGACGGUACCGGAAGAAUAAGCACCGGCUAACUACGUGCCAGCAGCCGCGGUAAUACGUAGGGUGCAAGCGUUAAUCGGAAUUACUGGGCGUAAAGCGUGCGCAGGCGGUUUGCUAAGACCGAUGUGAAAUCCCCGGGCUCAACCUGGGAACUGCAUUGGUGACUGGCAGGCUAGAGUAUGGCAGAGGGGGGUAGAAUUCCACGUGUAGCAGUGAAAUGCGUAGAGAUGUGGAGGAAUACCGAUGGCGAAGGCAGCCCCCUGGGCCAAUACUGACGCUCAUGCACGAAAGCGUGGGGAGCAAACAGGAUUAGAUACCCUGGUAGUCCACGCCCUAAACGAUGUCAACUAGUUGUUGGGGAUUCAUUUCCUUAGUAACGUAGCUAACGCGUGAAGUUGACCGCCUGGGGAGUACGGUCGCAAGAUUAAAACUUAAAUGAAUUGACGGGG
rnacentral:rRNA from 1 species